rnacentral:misc_RNA from 1 species
CUCGGUGUACGAAGCCACCACAGCAGGGAGGCUGACGACCAGCAGCGCCAAAGUCGAAACGUGUAGAUCAUGCCGCGCGUGCAGCUGUUCAUUGACAACGGGGGCUACAGCGUCAAGGCUCUUUAUCUUCCCGCCUCGGCCGACACCAGCAGCAGGUCGGCAGCGACACAUGCCUCAGCACUCACAAACAGCUCGACGCAUGGGGAGGUAGCAGCGACGGCCACUACUCUCGCGCCUGCGCCCAAGGUGCUUGUCGUGCCGAACUGUGUAGGGGCUGCUGUGUACGCUGGCACAGGUAUCAUGGGUGACCAGCUUGAUCACCUGCCGCACUAUCACGGGCUCAUGGUGCGCCGGCCAGUGGACCGCGGCUUCGUCGUGGAUGGUGGCCUGCAGGCGCGUGUGUGGGAGCACGUGCUGCAGCACUUCUCCAUCGAGUCGGAGGAGGAGGUGGACGUAUGGCUGACGGUGCCCUUCGCCGCCCCGAAGGCGGUGGCGCAGCUGCUCUGGCUACUGUGCACGCGCAGUUUUCGCUUCGGCUCCGUGACAGUCGUGAGCAGCAGCUUUAUGAGUCUCAUCGCCUACAACUUUGCGAGGGGCGCAUCGGCCCCCUCCAGCGCUGCCCGCAAGCGUCCCCGCAGCACCGUCGACACCGAUGCGCAAGAGUCGCCCGGCUGCUCUGGCAACAGCGCCACCGGUGGCGGCAUGGCUAUCAUGGUGGAUGUCGGCUUCUCUGCCACCACCGUCGUCCCUUAUGUGAACUACAUCCCUGUGCACAGCUCCGCUGUGCGCCUCGACGUGGGUGGCAAGGUGCUCACUAACCGACUGAAGGAGUACAUCAGCUUUUCGCAGAUGAACGUGAUGGAAGACACGUGGCUCAUCAAUCACGUCAAGGAGCAGUGCUGCGUCGUGGCACGGCACCCGCGGCGCAGUCUCCAGCGCUAUGCUGCACUGUGGAAGGGCAGAGCCCGGGAUGAGGUGGAGGCGGUUGUGGGUACAGUGUCGACGCUGCGGAGAGAAGGCUGCGGCGGCGGCGGCGGCGGCGACGGGCAAUCUCCCCGAUCCCAGAGGCCCGGCGCGCCAGCGGCGGGUGUUUUGACCUCACCAGAUGUGCCGAUCCGCUACUACCUACCCACGAUACCGGCUCUCCUCCCCCUCGGUGUGCUAGAGGCUGAGCUGCCGUCGCGCCUGCCAAAGACGAGUGGCGUGGAUGCCGCUGCGCUGCAGCACCUCCUGCUCUGUCAGGAGCGCUUCUUGAUUCCGGAGUUGCUCUUCACGCCGGCUGAUGUCGGCAUUAACCAGCAAGGUGUAGCCCAGGCCAUCACAGAGGGCAUCUUUCAGCGAGGGCUCCUCCAGCAUCUAACGAAGUUGCUCCGGCCACUGCUGCUCCACAAUGUUUGCGUGUACGGCGGUACAGCCUCUCAGCCGAACUUCCGCGAUCGCUUGGAGGCCGAGGUGGCAGCGGUGGCCCCGCAGUCCCCGGAUUGCGACGCAGAUUUGGACUUGAAGGAUAGCAAGCGCAGUAGCAAAAGCAGCAGCAGCCGGCACGGUGCCGCGGAAGCCUGCGCGGAUCGUGCCACAUGCCUCUCCGCCACCCCGGCGCUGCCGGAGUUUCUCUUGACGGCCGGCGGCGCCUCCACAGACCUCUCCCUGCAGCCACUGCUCGGUGCGUGGUGCCUCUUGUCGGCGACGGUGGACGGCGGAAGCAACGGCGGCGCGUCGCAGCGAGAGCUACUUCGGCUUCGCGCAUUGGUGCAUCAGCGGUCAGGGAUCGAGUUGCAGCACCCACCAGCAGGUCGAGUGACGGUGGAGACAUUCCAGCACGCGCUAGAGCGCAUGUUGUGAUGAGAGACGUGGAUGGGGGGAGGGGCACGUGCGGCCCACGGUGGAGGCUCCACCGUGUCUGUGCUGAGCAAAGCCAUCGUUGCGUCCUGCAGCACCAGGGUGGCAUCCGCUGCUCCCUGCUCCCUCUCUCCCCUUCAUUCUUAUCACUCCAUCUGGUGUGUGUGUGUGUGUGUCGCUGGCAUUACUCUUGACAACGUUCGCGCGGCCUGAGCCGCUGUAGGGAGUACCAGUGAUGGUCCCGGCAUCCUCUGCACUUCCUCCCGGACCUCUUCCCCACCAGCACCACCCCUCCGGCUCUGUCUUGAUUACGGCAUCAUACGUGCGGGUGAUCCGCAAAAUCCCUCCUUACAUGCCCGUUGAAAGGCAGAAGGAGACGUCGGUGGAGUAAACCGGCACGUCCGCUCUCGGCCACUGAUUCGCGCCCCUCUCCAGCAACACAUCACUCACAUUGAAGCCCACACGCACACGCACCUCCCACAGCCAUACAAAGAAGGGGAGAGGGGGAGGGGAAAGAUCGUCUCCUCCUUCCCGUCUACCUGCCCGCAUCCGUCAGACCUCCCCGACAUGUCUCCCUGUCACCAUUCCUCACCUUUCUACCCUUCCGCACCCCGCAACGACACACCUCCAAUUCGACCAG